UGAUCUGCCACGAGGUUGGGGAUAGCCCAUGGAAACAUGGGGUAAUACCGAAUGAGCUCUUUUUACUAUGGUGAGAAGAGGAAAAGCGCUUCGGCGCUGCCUUGUGAUGAGCCUGCGGCUGAUUAGCUAGUUGGUGGGGUAAAGGCCUACCAAGGCAACGAUCAGUAGCCGGCCUGAGAGGGUGAUCGGCCACACUGGGACUGAGAUACGGCCCAGACUCCUACGGGAGGCAGCAGCUAAGAAUCUUCCGCAAUGGACGAAAGUCUGACGGAGCGACGCCGCGUGGGUGAAGAAGGCCGAGAGGUUGUAAAGCCCUUUUCUGUCUGAGGAAUAAGCUUGGGAGGGAAUGCCCGAGUGAUGACGGUAGGACAGGAAUAAGCCCCGGCUAAUUACGUGCCAGCAGCCGCGGUAACACGUAUGGGGCGAGCGUUGUUCGGAAUUAUUGGGCGUAAAGGGCGCGUAGGCGGAUAUACAAGUCUGGUGUGAAAGACCGCAGCUUAACUGCGGGAGCGCGCUGGAAACUGUAUGUCUUGAAUCCUUGAGGGGAAACUGGAAUUCCUGGUGUAGGGGUGAAAUCUGUAGAUAUCAGGAAGAACAUCGGUGGCGAAGGCGAGUUUCUGGCAAGUGAUUGACGCUGAGGCGCGAAAGCGUGGGGAGCAAACAGGAUUAGAUACCCUGGUAGUCCACGCUGUAAACGAUGUGCACUAGGCGUUGGGGUGUUGAAACCUCAGUGCCGGAGCUAACGUGGUAAGUGCACCGNCUGGGGAGUAUGCCGGCA
rnacentral:rRNA from 1 species